CACGUAGGGUGCGAGCGUUGUCCGGAAUUAUUGGGCGUAAAGAGCGUGUAGGCGGCCAAGCAGGUCCGCUGUGAAAACUCGAGGCUCAACCUCGAGAGGUCGGUGGAAACCGUUUGGCUAGAGUCCGGAAGAGGAGAGUGGAAUUCCCGGUGUAGCGGUGAAAUGCGCAGAUAUCGGGAAGAACACCCGUGGCGAAGGCGGCUCUCUGGGACGGUACUGACGCUGAGACGCGAAAGCGUGGGGAGCGAACAGG
rnacentral:rRNA from 1 species